AAAAGCAGAAAAGCAGAAAAGCAGAAAAAAAACAGAAAACUUUUAAGGAAAAAAAGCCAAAAUAAUUAAAUCCAAAAACGCAGCUUCGUUCUCAUCCCUCUCCCAAUAUCAUCAUCAAAAUUAGGGUUUUUUAAACAAAAAGGGAAAUAAAAAUCGAUUAAAAUCUUAGGGAAUGAGGCCUAAUUGCUGCCAUGUUUCGUUUGCUUUUGUUCUGAAGUUCUUGAAUUUUCUCCAAGCUUUCGUUGGAUUAUCGAUCAUACUCUAUUCGAUAUGGAUGUUGGAUCAAUGGAACCAUCACGUCCCAAUUUCUCCGCCGCCUUUAGCUCCGUCGCCGGAGUCAUCUCUUCCGGUUCUCUUCAAUUCGAGACCGGAGGUUGGAGCUCAAGCAGCUAGGGUUUUCGAUGAUUUCGCCGUCGGUUUGGUCUCCGGGUUGGAUAACGGGGUCCGGUUAGACUUGAGCUCUGUUAAGCUACCUGCUUCCUGGUUCAUCUACUCUUUUAUGGGAGUGGGCAUUGUGCUAUGUUGCAUUACUGUUAUUGGUUGCGUAGCAGCUGAAUCUAUUAAUGGCUGCUGCCUUUGUUUUUAUACACUUAUCAAAAUUGUUCUACUUUUAAUAGAAGCUGCUUUGGUGGCAUUUAUUGCAAUUGAUCGUCACUGGGAGAAGGAUCUUCCAGAUGACCCAACUGGAGAACUUGAUAGCCUUCGAUCCUUCAUCGAAGGAAACAUUGAUAUAUGUAAAUGGGUUGGCAUCAGUGUGGUCAUAAUUCAGGCAUUAUCUUUGCUAGUGGCAAUAAUUUUGCGGGCAAUGGUUUCUGCUAGAAGAAGAGACAUUGACAAUGAAGAUGAUUAUGACAAUAUUGGAGGUAGAACUUGGGAGCCACUCCUAAACCCUCAGUCUACUGCAGCCAAGGGUGAUGGCAGGGGAGCUCACUCUGACAUCUGGGGCUCACGAAUAAGAGAUAAGUUGUGACAGUUAUCAAUGAUUCCCAUCCCUUUUAUAUUGAUUCCUCCUUUUUGGAGUUUUUGUGGGGUGGGGAAGGGGGGCUGAUCCUGCCAGUUAUUUUGUUUAAUUAAUCUUUUAGAGUUUGGGUUUUACUAAAAUUCCUCUGGUUGAUGAGCAAGAUUUGUAACACAAAAUGGUGAUUCAGAAUCAGGGCACUCUUAAUUGUUAAGACUGUAAAGACAGAUAUUCAUGUACUAGAAUACUGAGCAUUUCUGUUGUUCCAACCCAUUUCUUGUCAACAAAACAAGAUUAAAAUAUUCUUUUCAUUCAUAUACGGACUGAACAGUGGGGAUAGAUACAACAGCACUGAUAAACAUAAUUUACCAAACCAAAACUCAUCUGCUAGCGUGAAGUCCAAGUAGAGCGAUGAUCAGAGAAAAUGGUCCAUCUCACAGGUGGCGACAUAGACUGUAUUUCCAACUGAUCAAGUACAUAUCUUUGCACUCUAGUCCUUUUAUUCUUUGCUUUUGUGGACGAAGUUUGAUGUAUAUAGGUCUUCAAACCCAUUUUCCUGUAUUGCUUUGUAAUUGCAUUUAGGCAACGAUUGUCCUAAUUGAAUGUUGUGGUGAUACUGACAUCCUUUAUAAAUGAGAAGUUUGUUGUUUGGUCUAAAA